rnacentral:lncRNA from 1 species
CGGACGGUCCCACCCCCUGCGUGGGUCGGGGCGCGUGUGGGCCCGGCCCGCGGCGGGUUCCUGGGUAUAGGCGCCCUGUGGGCACGGCCCAUGGUGGGUUCCUGGGUCUGGGAGCGUGUGGGCACGGCCCCCGGCGGGUUCCUGGGUCUAGGAGUGUGUGGGCAUGGCCCCUGGCCGGUUCCUGGGUCUGGUAGCAUGUGGGCACAGUCCCCGAUGGGUUCCUGGGUCUAAUAGCCCUGUGGGUAUGGCCCCCAGCGGGUUCCUGGGUCUGGGAGCCCUGUGGGCAUGGCCCCCGGCGGGUUCCUGGGUCUAGGAGCCUUGUGGGCACGGCCCCCGGCGGGUUCCUGGGUCUAGGAGUGUGUGGGCAUGGCCCCCGGCCAGUUCCUGGGUCUGGGAGUGUGUGGGCACAGUCUGCCCUCCGGACCAGGCCGGGCCAUGCUCAUGCUCCUCUCCCUCCCCUGCAGGUGGAGAUGCUAGAACGGAAGUAUGGGGGCCGCCUCGUGACCCGGCAUGCGGCCCGCACCAUCCAGACGGCCUUCCGCCAGUACCAGAUGAACAAGAACUUCGAGCGGCUGCGCAGCUCCAUGUCUGAGAAGCGUCUGUCCCGCCGCAUCGUGCUGUCCAACAUGCGGGUGCAGCUGUCCUUCGAGGGGCCCGAGAAGGCGCACAGCUCCUUCUUCGAGGGCAAGCAGGUGAAGUCGCUGGCCGAAUCCAUCGACGAUGCCCUCAACUGCCGCAGCCUGCACGCUGUGGAGGGGGCGCCUGCGCCCGCCGCCGAGCCCUCGUCGGGCCUACACGGUGCGGCCGAGCAGCGCCGGCUGGACGAGAUGACCGCCUCGUACAGCGACGUCACCCUGUACAUCGAUGAGGAUGAGCUGUCGCCGCCGCCGCCUGCAGUGCAGGCCGGGUGCCGGCCGUCCAGCGGCGAGUCGGACC